UACGAAGGGUGCAAGCGUUAAUCGGAAUUACUGGGCGUAAAGCGUGCGUAGGUGGUUUGUUAAGUCUGCUGUGAAAGCCCUGGGCUCAACCUGGGAAUGGCGGUGGAUACUGGCAGGCUAGAGUGCGGUAGAGGAGGGUGGAAUUCCCGGUGUAGCGGUGAAAUGCGUAGAGAUCGGGAGGAACAUCAGUGGCGAAGGCGGCCCUCUGGACCAGCACUGACGCUGAGGCACGAAAGCGUGGGGAGCAAACAGG
rnacentral:rRNA from 1 species